rfam:Vigna angularis cultivar Jingnong 6 scaffold16_39, whole genome shotgun sequence.
AAACCAUGAGUAGGCGUCUUUCUCAACAAGCCUUUAAACCGGUCUCAUGCUUGACCGAGUGUUUCAUCCAUGUCCUGCCUGAAAUAAGAAAUUUCCUGCUUACCUUU